rnacentral:rRNA from 1 species
AGCAUAUCAAUAAGCGGAGGAAAAGAAACCAACAGGGAUUGCCCUAGUAACGGCGAGUGAAGCGGCAAUAGCUCAAAUUUGAAAGCUGGCCUUAUGGUCCGCAUUGUAAUUUGUAGAGGAUGCUUUUAGGCAGCCGCCGGUCUAAGUUCCUUGGAACAGGACGUCAUAGAGGGUGAGAAUCCCGUAUGUGACCGGCUCUGGCACCUUAUGUAAAGCUCCUUCGACGAGUCGAGUUGUUUGGGAAUGCAGCUCUAAAUGGGAGGUAAAUUUCUUCUAAAGCUAAAUACUGGCGAGAGACCGAUAGCGCACAAGUAGAGUGAUCGAAAGAUGAAAAGCACUUUGGAAAGAGAGUUAAAAAGCACGUGAAAUUGUUGAAAGGGAAGCGCUUGCAAUCAGACUUGGACUUGGCUGUUCAACCGGUCUUCUGACCGGCCCACUCAGUCUUGUCCAGGCCAGCAUCAGUUUCGGCGGCCGGAUAAAGGCCCUGGGAAUGUGGCUGUCCCCUCGGGGACAGUGUUAUAGCCCAGGGUGUAAUACGGCCAGCUGGGACUGAGGUCCGCGCUUCGGCUAGGAUGCUGGCGUAAUGGUUGUAAGCGGCCCGUCUUGAAACACGGACCAAGGAGUCUAACAUCUAUGCGAGUGUUAGGGUGUCAAACCCUUACGCGUAAUGAAAGUGAACGGAGGUGGGAACCCGCAAGGGUGCACCAUCGACCGAUCCUGAUGUCUUCGGAUGGAUUUGAGUAAGAGCAUAGCUGUUGGGACCCGAAAGAUGGUGAACUAUGCCUGAAUAGGGUGAAGCCAGAGGAAACUCUGGUGGAGGCUCGCAGCGGUUCUGACGUGCAAAUCGAUCGUCAAAUUUGGGUAUAGGGGCGAAAGACUAAUCGAACCAUCUAGUAGCUGGUUCCUGCCGA